rnacentral:rRNA from 1 species
GUGGGGAAUAUUGGACAAUGGGCGAAAGCCUGAUCCAGCCAUGCCGUGUGUGUGAAGAAGGUCUUCGGAUUGUAAAGCACUUUAAGUUGGGAGGAAGGGCAGUAAGUUAAUACCUUGCUGUUUUGACGUUACCAACAGAAUAAGCACCGGCUAACUUCGUGCCAGCAGCCGCGGUAAUACGAAGGGUGCAAGCGUUAAUCGGAAUUACUGGGCGUAAAGCGCGCGUAGGUGGUUCAGCAAGUUGGAGGUGAAAUCCCCGGGCUCAACCUGGGAACUGCCUCCAAAACUACUGAGCUAGAGUACGGUAGAGGGUAGUGGAAUUUCCUGUGUAGCGGUGAAAUGCGUAGAUAUAGGAAGGAACACCAGUGGCGAAGGCGACUACCUGGACUGAUACUGACACUGAGGUGCGAAAGCGUGGGGAGCAAACAGGAUUAGAAACCCUAGUAGUCC